AAAACAUCAACCAGAAAACAAAAACACAAACAGUUAGAAAAUAUCAGUGAUAAAUCCAGUAUGAUGACAUUGCUAACAGACUUUAGAUAAAGGGAAUGGGAAGAGGACUUUGUGUUCCAUCAUUGCAAUAGGUUUAGAGAUACAAUUAUCUGGUGGGCACGAUACAUAGAUUACAUAAUUAUCUGGUGGAGGGGUACAGAACAAGAACUAUUGUCAUUUCAUGAUUACCGGUAUUUGAAUGCUGCAAAUCCUAAUGUAAAGCUAUCUUUUGAUAUAUAUAUUUUUUUUACCAAAGAGCACUUUCAGACUACUUAGGAGAUGUACUUACUAGAAUAACGCCGUAGCCUUCCAUCCUAUCCUUCUAAAUAUACAUCAGUGUUUAAUUAUUUGUUUAGUUGUGUGCUUUGAAUGCUUUGAAUGUAGCCUAAAUUAAAUUUUAGUGGAUUUUCAAAACAGCCCAAGUUCACUUCCUAUGAAGCUUCGCGGUAAUUAAAAAAAACAUGGCGGACAAUAGCAGUGGUUUCUGGCAACUCCAGCCCCAGCAGUGAAAAUGAAAUGGUCUUCCAGGUACCAGCCAAGUGGUUGAUACAGCUUCUGCACAUAUUCUUAGUUCAACCUGUCAACCUGGACAUCAUGGAUAGAGCCAGGCAGACCACUGAAGAUAUUUAAGAAGAGGUCUUUCUGGUCAUGGAUGGACUAUCGUUACGUUGAGUGGACAGGACACCUUGUUUGUUGCCAUAUAUAUCGGAAGAUACAUGGCAUAAGGCAGGAGUACCUGACAGAUGGGAGAACCCUGCCUCCAGCCUCAAGCUCAUCAUCAGAGGGAAGGUGCACUGCCUGUUUCUGAAUGCUGAGAAUUCCCUCUGCAAUUUGAUGGACAAUUCCAUGGACAGUUGUCAUAGUGCAGAGUGCGAAUCCACUCCUAUGACUGACAUCAUGGAUAUCCAGUGAAUGGGAAACUGACCAGAUCCCAUUGUGCUGCCAGCUGUGCGGGCCAAAAAUCAGACCGAAGCAGUUGGCGUGACAGUGAUUUCUCGCAUGGCAUUGCAUGGGCUGAUGCAUGGUGACAGAUCGCAGAGUGGUCUUUGUUGGGGAAACCAGGACAGACCGACAGGGAGAAACUGAUGCCAAGAGCUGCCCAAGAGCCUCUCUUAAAGACAUAGGAAGGGCAUCAAUCUGUCUCCAGAAAACUGGCGAUAUGUUUCAUUUUUUUCCCCCAACCCCAAGAAAAUACUCAGCAGAUAUGUCGGUGUGUCUUUUUCAACUUGUGAAUUGUGACACACAGUCCCCGUUUGGCAGGCUGAACUUUGUUGAAAAGACUACAUUUCCUGACAGCGCCUUCAUUAAGACUGAUGGAAUGUGAACUGAAGCUCUAUGGUUCCCCUCCAUUGAAACCAUAUGUGCACUUUUUGUCAGUCUCUCUGAUUGAUACCGAAAUGUUUAGACAGCAAUUAUAGGUAUUUUCAAAAGAGAUUUUUUUCCUCAAAAUCAGGAAGAUGCCUUUUCUUUGUUGGCCAGUUCUGAAAAAAAAAUAAACCAUCAUGAGGCUCAAUGUAAUUUAUUUGUGAUAUUUCAACUUUAAAAUGUGCAAUUCUGAAAACUGACACCUGCAAAGCCUUCAAUUUAACAUUUCUAGGUUGACAAAAUACAUGUAUUUCUGAAAGUACACAAACAAGAAUCCUUUUCUGUGAGAGAAUGAGUUGAGUUUUUUUCUAUUAUAGUCUGCGAGUGCUCGCUGUAUUGUCACUUGCAUUUGGCUUUCAUUAUGUGCUUGCCCCAGGCGCCUGUCGGCCUGUAAGUGAGCCAGCAGUGAUUUGGUUUAUAGGGAUCAUAUGGCAAGGAAACAGGGCUUGAAAGACACAACUUCGGGAACCAUAUUUGAUGAAUUCCCUAUGAUUUGAGCCCAGGUUUACUCUUUCCUGUUGUGAAACAGACACACUGGAGCACACGCGCCAGGGCCAGGGAUGAGCGACAGAGAGAGAGAGAGCCAAUUAAACGACAAUACAUGCUCUGUUUUCACACGUCUCCGAUUGCAUUUCCUAUCAGGAGAAAGGGGGCUCUGUAAGUGAUCCAACUGUGGGCAGGAAACCACACAGAGUGAAGGUUGCCUUUGUCAUUAACAAUUAAUGUAACCGCCGCGACUGGGAUCAGCUUCAGCUCAGAGGCAAACGGGACUUCAUCAGGAUUCAAAUGUUGAGAAAGGAAGGGAGAGAAUCGAGAGCAGACUCCUGCCUAAGACUUCUAGCAGACGCGGCAACGCUGAGAAACAUCAUAAAAGCCUGCACGGCUCAGCCAGCCGUCCACCACCAAAAUGGACGUGGUUUCGGUGGACAGCAGAACAGGGGGAAGUUUAUUCGAGAGGGUUUUUCUCCCUCUCCGGCCAGAGGAAAUCACGUCACACAUGCCAGUCUCACUGUCUGUCUGUCCAACCCUUCCCACCCCCA